rnacentral:rRNA from 1 species
CCUACGGGAGGCAGCAGUGAGGAAUAUUGGUCAAUGGACGAGAGUCUGAACCAGCCAAGUAGCGUGAAGGAUGACUGCCCUAUGGGUUGUAAACUUCUUUUAUAUGGGAAUAAAAUGUUCCACGUGUGGGCUUUUGUAUGUACCAUAUGAAUAAGGAUCGGCUAACUCCGUGCCAGCAGCCGCGGUAAUACGGAGGAUCCGAGCGUUAUCCGGAUUUAUUGGGUUUAAAGGGAGCGUAGGUGGAUUGUUAAGUCAGUUGUGAAAGUUUGCGGCUCAACCGUAAAAUUGCAGUUGAAACUGGCAGCCUUGAGUACAGUAGAGGUGGGCGGAAUUCGUGGUGUAGCGGUGAAAUGCUUAGAUAUCACGAAGAACUCCGAUUGCGAAGGCAGCUCACUGGACUGCAACUGACACUGAGGCUCGAAAGUGUGGGUAUCAAACAGGAUUAGAUACCCGUGUAGUC